rnacentral:lncRNA from 1 species
UCCUUGGCCUCAAAGGAUCCUCCUGUCUGGGUCUCUCAAACUGCUGGGAAUACAAGCAUGAGCCACCACAGCUGACGAACAGCUAUUUUUGAAUAAAGUAAAGGAAGAGAGGGAGGGAGAGAAGAAGGAAGAAGAAAAAAAAGAAAAGAAGUGAAGGAGGGUUAACUACAGCCAAAGAAAAAGAAGCAGCCCAACAGAGAGCUCAGGAAAAUUACACUUCAUACAUCCAACUGCUAUGGAAGAGGAUGGAGGUGAGAAGCGGAGGGAGAAAGAAGGAUGUGAUAUUCCAUCCCCAUUAAGAAAAUUUUUCAAGCCCCCAAUCUGAACCUACUGAAUCAGAAUUUGAGGAGAUGAGACCUGUAUACCUAGAUUUUCAAAAGACUCUCAACUCUAUCCACUCUCAUCACUUCUAUUUAACAUUAUACUGGAGGUCCUGGCCAGGGAA